rnacentral:misc_RNA from 1 species
GUAACAAGGUUUCCGUAGGUGAACCUGCGGAAGGAUCAUUACUGAGUGAGGGCCCUCUGGGUCCAACCUCCCACCCGUGUUUAUUGUACCUUGUUGCUUCGGUGCGCCCGCCUCACGGCCGCCGGGGGGCUUCUGCCCCCGGGUCCGCGCGCACCGGAGACACUAUUGAACUCUGUCUGAAGAUUGCAGUCUGAGCAUAAACUAAAUAAGUUAAAACUUUCAACAACGGAUCUCUUGGUUCCGGCAUCGAUGAAGAACGCAGCGAAAUGCGAUAACUAAUGUGAAUUGCAGAAUUCAGUGAAUCAUCGAGUCUUUGAACGCACAUUGCGCCCCCUGGUAUUCCGGGGGGCAUGCCUGUCCGAGCGUCAUUGCUGCCCUCAAGCACGGCUUGUGUGUUGGGCUCCGUCCCCCCGGGGACGGGUCCGAAAGGCAGCGGCGGCACCGAGUCCGGUCCUCGAGCGUAUGGGGCUUUGUCACCCGCUCUGUAGGCCCGGCCGGCGCCAGCCGACAACCAAUCAUCCUUUUUUCAGGUUGACCUCGGAUCAGGUAGGGAUACCCGCUGAACCUAAGCAUAU